AAUCUGGUGUCAAGAAGUGGGACCAAAGUGAGCUCACCUUGAUGGAUCGGUGACUCCUGGAAUCACAUGAAGUUCCCACAUUGAGCCCCUUUGAGCUCUCCAAUCCUACAGCUCACCUUUUCUGUCAUGGUGAAUCUCCUCUCAGGUUCUUGAACUCCCUCAUUUUGCCAUUAUACAAUUCAGUGAGUCCUAGCUGAAAUGUAAAAACACCUGAGAAACUAACCACUAAAUUUGAGGCUUUAAAAAAAAAAGGUUCUUCAGUUUUGAGACCUGGACUGGGUUUCCUUGCUCCUCAAGUUUGC
rnacentral:lncRNA from 1 species